CAGGCUACAUCAGUCGAGGCUGCACUCAACCGGCAGAAGUGGAUUUAAUCUUGAAAAUGCUUAUUUCUGCUGCUCGUAGCUCUCAUCAUAAAGGGCUUCAUCAUAUCGUUCUCUCCUCCAGUCGAUGAGGAGACGACAAACUACGACAGGAACAGAAAGACGACAAGACACAUCCUGAAACAGACUCAACAGAACUGGCCGACAUGGUGAAGAGCAUUUCACAGACGGACCAACUGAGUGAUCGACUGGCACUUUGCACUGUGCAGAACCAACGGACCUGAGUCUGUCAGAUCAUACAGACACUGUCUCGUCCAAUCACAUUACUGUCACUAUUCAUUCACAUUACUGUUCGUUCCAGUUGUGAGAUAUUUAAACAUCUACAAAACCUGAUUGGCUCAUAAGUAUUACUGCUUCAGCGAGGCUGAGUCCUUUUAUAAACUCACAUCCUAGCCUUUCUAUUGGUGACAUUUUCCCAGCAUGAUAUUCACUCUCACCUUUCACUCACAUAUAGCUCCAUUAACUCUGUAGCUCUGUUAGCUCUGUUAGCUCUAUUAGCUCUGUUAGCUCUGUCAGCUCUGUUAGCUCCAUUAGCACCGUUAGCUCUGUUAGCUCCGUUAGCUCUGUUAACUCCAGUCAGAUCUCAAAAGCCUGAAAGAAGAAACUUGAACAAAUAGCGAUAACGCCUUAAUGUCAGCUCCGUUUUGGGGUUAAAAAUUAAAAACUGACAAACUUAAA